CUGAAUUACUUGUUUAUCUUUUCCAAUUUGCCUUCUGCAUCUAAAUCUCAUUUGUCAUGCUUGGCUUAUGUGUUUUGAUCCCAUGACAGCUCGGGUUGGAACUUGUUGGUGAAAGCCUCAUCUUUUUUCUUUGUUUUGUUUGCAAAAAGGGUCUUGAGUAUAAAGCUUAGCAACAAAGCAAAAUAGUGUUCAAUUACUUGGUGCAAUGGCCUAUUGUGCUCCUGAGCAAUUGUCCCAGUGUCUCCAUAAGAUUGUACCAAAACUGACAGAGGUCUCUCUUUGUGUUUAUGAAUUUUUUAAUUUAUUAUGUAAAAUAUUUCAUGCUCAUACUUAAUUUUGUUUAUCUUUGUCUUCUUUAAACUCUUAGGAAUGCAGGUUUUAACUAAUGUCCAUCCAAGUUUUUGCUGGUUAUGCAGAAGCAUAGUAAAUAUAUGUGAAACUUGGCUUUUUAUGUGUGUCCAGU